CCAGGUUGUUAGAACUAAAUGUAAAAGCUGAAACACAAAAUUGCUUGAGAGCUGACGAGGAGGACAGCUGCCCACUCCUACCCCAAUCACUCCAUCCCAACGCAGAACUAACACUCCUAACCCCGCAGCUAAACCAGGCUGGUGAUGUCAAGAGCAAAAAGGAUCUGACACAGGAAAUCAGAUCGGGAACCUUCACAGCAGACACAAUUUUAUGCCUUUGUUUGCAUGAAUGGCUCUGAGAAAAAGAGAGCAAAAAGAGAAACAAAAGGAAGAAAAAUACUGAAGAUUGCCAAGUCAAGGGAGGCUAACAAUGUUAGGAGAGCUGACAAUGGUGACUAAUGCAACAAAUGGAUGAUGGAGUGCUGAUACGGCUUCUCUCAGGAUCCCCAGAGACAAACCAAAUUCCCACAGGGUUGAGUUGCACCUGUGCCAAUUGCUGCCCAGCUCUCCAGGUUAAAGCAAUGAGUGCAGUCAGGUGAUUAAGAGCCAGGCUAGCUGUUCUAGAGAACUGUCCUGGAAAAGAGCUGUGAUUACCAGCAGCUGUGUGAGUGGGUGUGCUGCUUCAUUAAGCAGGUGCUGCUCUGCUGCCGAAGAGCAUUUAUAGCCAAAGCAGCAGCCCUGCUGGGAGUGCAGGCUCAGGGAAAGUUAGUGGCCUAAAAAGGAAGAGCUGUCUAAGGGCUAAGCCAUUUCUGCCACGCUGUUCUCCACAGAAGGAUGAGAAAAGACCAUGGCCUAAGAAGCUGCCCUAUGGAAUGCUGCUUGCCUCGUGGUUUCACUUCAUGCUAAGCAGAACUAAGCUGGUUCUCCUGCGGUUCCUCCCUCCCCAGGACUCUGUUUCCUCUUCACUCUUGCAUCAACACAGAUCCUUCUCUGGUAAGGAGAUGAGCUGGAUAAGAAAUGUAAACUCACCAAAAAUGAGGGUGGGAGGAAAAAGAAGGAAUGCAUUUGGGGAGUUCAAUUUCCUGCAUUAUAGUAGUAAUCUAAGUGUGUAUUUGCAGCACAGCUCUUUCACAGAUUGAAAUCCAGACAACAAUAUGAUUGUUUCUCUGGCCAUACCCACCUAAAAUUUUCUCUUGCCCAGCAGGAAGCAAAAUCUUGCUUCCAACUACCAUCUAGGCAUUAGUUAAAUAGUAACACUGAACAAAGUCUAAAAUCC
rnacentral:lncRNA from 1 species